UACGGAGAGUGCAAGCGUUGUUCGGAUUCACUGGGCGUAAAGGGCACGUAGGCGGCUCGGCAAAUCGGUCGUGGAAUCUCGACGCUUACCGUCGAAACGGCGGCCGAAAAUACCGGGCUCGAGGGCGUGAGGGGUCACUGGAACUCCUGGUGAAGCGGUGAAAUGCGUAGAUAUCAGGAGGAACGCCGGAGGCGAAAGCGAGUGACUGGCGCGUUCCUGACGCUGAGGUGCGAAAGCUAGGGGAGCAAACAGG
rnacentral:rRNA from 1 species